rnacentral:misc_RNA from 1 species
UUUCCGUAGGUGAACCUGCGGAAGGAUCAUUAUUGUAUAACCGAGGGUCGAGGGCUGUCACUGAUCCGAAAGGUCGUGCACGCCCGAGUGCCCUCACACACAUCUAUCUCACCCCUAUGUGCACCACCGCGUGGGUCCCCCUUUGGCUUGUUCGGAGGGGGGCUUACGUUUUCACACAAACUUUGUAUGCAGUGUAGAAUGUAUUUUUUGUUUUUGCGAUCACGCAAUCAAUACAACUUUCAACAACGGAUCUCUUGGCUCUC